rnacentral:rRNA from 1 species
CCUACGGGUGGCUGCAGUCGAGGAUCUUCGGCAAUGGGCGCAAGCCUGACCGAGCGACGCCGCGUGGAGGAUGAAGGCCUUCGGGUUGUAAACUCCUGUCGGGGGGGAGGAAAGCCCCGCAAGGGGCCUGACCGACCCCCGGAGGAAGCACGGGCUAAGUUCGUGCCAGCAGCCGCGGUAAGACGAACCGUGCGAACGUUGUUCGGAAUCACUGGGCUUAAAGGGCGCGUAGGCGGGCGGGUAAGUCCCGGGUGAAAGCCCCCGGCUCAACCGGGGGACGGCGCGGGAUACUGCACGUCUUGAGGGGGGUAGGGGCGGGCGGAACUUCCGGUGGAGCGGUGAAAUGCGUUGAGAUCGGAAGGAACGCCGGUGGCGAAAGCGGCCCGCUGGACCCCACCUGACGCUGAGGCGCGAAAGCCAGGGGAGCGAACGGGAUUAGA